rnacentral:misc_RNA from 1 species
GAAAUGCGAUAAGUAAUGUGAAUUGCAGAAUUCAGUGAAUCAUCGAAUCUUUGAACGCACCUUGCGCUCCUUGGUAUUCCUUGGAGCAUGCCUGUUUGAGUAUCAUGAAAUCUUCAAAGUAAAUCUUUUGUUAACUCAAUUGGUUUCUACUUUGGUAUUGGAGGUCUUUGCAGCUUCACACCUGCUCCUCUUUGUUCAUUAGCUGGAUCUCAGUGUUAUGCUUGGUUCCACUCGGCGUGAUAAGUUAUCUAUCGCUGAGGACACUGUAAAAGGUGGCCAAGGUAAAUGCAGAUGAACCGCUUCUAAUAGUCCAUUGACUUGGACAAUACUUUUAUGAUCUGAUCUCGGAUCAGGUAGGACUACCCGCUGAACUUAAGC